rnacentral:rRNA from 1 species
AGUGAACGCUGGCGGUAGGCCUAACACAUGCAAGUCGAACGGCAGCACAGGAGAGCUCGCUCUCUGGGUGGCGAGUGGCGGACGGGUGAGGAAUACAUCGGAAUCUACUCUGUCGUGGGGGAUAACGUAGGGAAACUUACGCUAAUACCGCAUACGACCUACGGGUGAAAGCAGGGGAUCUUCGGACCUUGCGCGAUUGAAUGAGCCGAUGUCGGAUUAGCUAGUUGGCGGGGUAAAGGCCCACCAAGGCGACGAUCCGUAGCUGGUCCGAGAGGAUGAUCAGCCACACUGGAACUGAGACACGGUCCAGACUCCUACGGGAGGCAGCAGUGGGGAAUAUUGGACAAUGGGCGCAAGCCUGAUCCAGCCAUACCGCGUGGGUGAAGAAGGCCUUCGGGUUGUAAAGCCCUUUUGUUGGGAAAGAAAUCCAGCUGGCUAAUACCCGGUUGGGAUGACGGUACCCAAAGAAUAAGCACCGGCUAACUUCGUGCCAGCAGCCGCCGUAA